GAGUUUGAUCUUGGCUCAGAUUGAACGCUGGCGGCAUGCCUUACACAUGCAAGUCGAACGGCAGCAUGAUCUAGCUUGCUAGAUUGAUGGCGAGUGGCGAACGGGUGAGUAAUACAUCGGAACGUGCCCUGUAGUGGGGAUAACUAGUCGAAAGAUUAGCUAAUACCGCAUACGACCUGAGGGUGAAAGUGGGGGACCGCAAGGCCUCAUGCUAUAGGAGCGGCCGAUGUCUGAUUAGCUAGUUGGUGGGGUAAAGGCCCACCAAGGCGACGAUCAGUAGCUGGUCUGAGAGGACGAUCAGCCACACUGGGACUGAGACACGGCCCAGACUCCUACGGGAGGCAGCAGUGGGGAAUUUUGGACAAUGGGCGAAAGCCUGAUCCAGCAAUGCCGCGUGUGUGAAGAAGGCCUCGGUGUAAG
rnacentral:rRNA from 1 species